UACGUAGGCAGCAAGCGUUGUUCGGAAUUACUGGGCGUAAAGCGUGCGCAGGCGGUUUUGUAAGUCUGUCGUGAAAUCCCCGGGCUUAACCUGGGAAUGGCGUUUGGGACUGGGUCGCUAGAGUGUGGCAGAGGGAGGUGGAAUUCCACGUGUAGCAGUGAAAUGCGUAGAGAUGUGGAGGAACACCGAUGGCGACGGCAGCCUCCUGGGCCAGCACUGACGCUCAUGCACGAAAGCGUGGGGAGCAAACAGG
rnacentral:rRNA from 1 species